UACGUAGGUGACAAGCGUUGUCCGGAUUUACUGGGCGUAAAGAGCGCGCAGGCGGUCGAUCAAGUCGAGUGUGAAAGCCCCCGGCUCAACUGGGGAGGGUCAUUCGAUACUGAUCGACUCGAAGGCAGGAGAGGGUAGUGGAAUUCCCGGUGUAGUGGUGAAAUGCGUAGAUAUCGGGAGGAACACCAGUGGCGAAGGCGGUUGCCUGGGGCUUUGCUGACGCUGAUGCGCGAAAGCGUGGGGAGCGAGUC
rnacentral:rRNA from 1 species